CGCUAAGGGGGCACCCUAAUAGAGCAGCGAACGGGUGAGUAACGCGGAGGGUGAUCUUCCUUCGAGUGGGGAACAACAUCGGGAAACUGGUGCUAGAGUUCCGCAUAACACCUUGGGCUACGAGCCUCAAGAUCAAAGCCGGGGACCGUAAGGCCUGGCGCUUGAAGAUGAGCCCGCGUCCGAUUAGCUAGUUGGCGGGGUAAUGGCCCACCAAGGCUUCGAUCGGUAGCCGGCCUGAGAGGGCGGACGGCACACUGACACUGACAUACGGGUCAGACUCCUACGGGAGGCAGCAGUCGGGAAUUUUGGGCAAUGGGCGAAAGCCUGACCCAGCAACGCCGCGUGAAGGAUGAAAUCCCUCGGGAUGUAAAAUUCGCAAGAACGGGAAGAAUAAGUAGGGGACCAAUACCCCCUAUGAUGACGGUACCGUUUGUAAGCUCCGGCUAACUUCCGUGCCAGCAGCCGCGGUAAUACGGGGGGAGCAAGCGGUUGUUCGGAUUUAACUGGGCGGUAAAGGGCGCGUAGGCGGGCAAGCACCAAGUCCAGUUGUGAAAUUCUCCCGAGGCUUAACUCGGAAAGGUCAAUGAAACUU
rnacentral:rRNA from 1 species